rnacentral:rRNA from 1 species
CGUUGUUCGGAAUUACUGGGCGUAAAGCGCGCGUAGGCGGCUACUCAAGUCAGGGGUGAAAGCCCGGGGCUCAACCUCGGAACUGCCCUUGAAACUGCAGCGCUAGAAUCUUGGAGAGGCGAGUGGAAUUCCGAGUGUAGAGGUGAAAUUCGUAGAUAUUCGGAAGAACACCAGUGGCGAAGGCGACUCGCUGGACAAGUAUUGACGCUGAGGUGCGAAAGCGUGGGGAGCAAACAGG